UCCGCCAGGGGACUACAAGCACUAGCUUGAAACCCAAAGGACUUGGCGGUGCUUUAGACCCACCUAGAGGAGCCUGUUCUAUAACCGAUAACCCCCGUUAAACCUCACCUCUUCUUGUUAAUUUACCGCCUAUAUACCGCCGUCGUCAGCUUACCUUGUGAAAGAACAAUAGUAAACAAAAAUGGUUUAUACCCAAAACGUCAGGUCGCGGUGUAGCGAAUGAAGAGGGAAGAAAUGGGCUACAUUUCCUGAAACAGGAAACUACGAAAUAUAUAAUGAAAAAAAUAUAUGAAGGAGGAUUUAGCAGUAAAUGGAAAACAGAGUGUUCC
rnacentral:rRNA from 1 species